UAUUUACAUAAUUACUAAUAGUGUUGGAACAAAUACCGCACAAAAAAUCUGAUUGUGAUACAAAUCUAACUAGUUUUGUGAUAAAAAUAAAUAAAUCGACUUACAGAUAAAUGCUAAAAUCCAAAUAAAGACUUUGAUUGAUCCGGAAGUGUGCGAGGCACUGCCUAAGGUGUAUUCCCGUCCUUCGUGCGAGAUUAACCGGAAACACCGCCCCAAGGUACGACCGGAAUUCCUCGUCCUACGGACACGAACGCGGAAGAGGUUGACGGAUACUCUUUCAACACCCAGUGACAAAAAGAUCAAAGCCGAAUAGAUCAAAAUAAGAAAAUAUAUGUCUUCCAAUGUUUCUUUCUACAAUGUUC
rnacentral:lncRNA from 1 species